UUUUUUUUUAAAGACAAAGACAGAGAGAGACAAAGACAGUUCAGUUCAAAGUUCAAUGUUCAAACUUCAAACUUCAAAUUUCCAUCUCCCAUACUCCCAUUUCGACUUUCGUCAUAAUGCAGUCUUGACUCUUGACUCUUGAAUGUUCAGCAAUAUUAUUUCGUUUCACGUUUAGUUAACUGUACGCUUUGCUUUAGUGAUGGCUUAUUAACGUCACUUUUCUAUAAUGUUUACAUAUCGUGGAUCGUGCACAGUGUUGUAGAGUUGCCAUGCUGCAUUCAACGAAUCAAAUAGAAAAGGCCUUACAGGUUUCACGAAAAGUUGCCCAUUAUUAUGCUGCUUUAAAUCCAACGCCAUCGAAAAAGCGACGAAAAUUGAAGGCAGAUGGCGACAACACGUGGCAGUUUACUAAAGGGAUGUACUAAGGACGAUUGAGAAGAAGAAGACGGAGAACGUUAAAGCUAAGUAAUUCAUUUAUGGAAGAAAUCGCAUCAUCAGAAUUGGUCAUGAAGUUGAAAACUGUCGUAUUUGUGACGUUUGCUAUGGAAAUUUAUGUCGAAACUGCUAACCGGUCUAAAAAGAAAUAGCAACUACUGUUAUUACUCGCAAAUGAAGAAGAGAAACGAAAAUUAGCGGAGAAAAAGGACCAGAUAAAUGAACGUGCGGCUUUCUUUUUCAAGAAAGGUGUUAGUCUGAAUAAAAACUGUCCAUUUAACUACGGUUUCGAUGCAGUAAAAGUAUGCUGAAACUUGUUGCGCAUCAUCAAGAUGUUCAUUUAGCUCCUGAAUAUUUACUUUAGAACGCGGAUUGGAAAUAGCGUUAGAAAGAAGUUUCGGAAAUCAUGCUAUGGUAUUGUAUUAUAUGAAACAGAAAGAGAUAUUGCUCUAUUUGUUUGUUAUCGAACUACAUUUUAUCCGCGUACUUGCAUACACAUUUUUUUAUGUUAUCAACCUAAAUGAUUUACUGCUUUCUACGGAAUGCAAUUGAGGUUCGUUAAGUUCUGUUGAUGUUGAUUGUUAAUAAAAUUUGCCAAAAUAUUCGAAAAAUGCGAGAAAAAGGUUCAAAAUUUUGAAAAAAAAGCAUUAGUUACUUACCUAAGAAAAUUUGGGCCAUAGCUGUUUUUUAACAAAAUAACAAAAAUUUCAAAAUUCAUUCUAGCCUCAACUUAAGCCUCAGUCGCCGCACGAAUUUUCUAUAUUUUUGAAGUGGUACAUUUUGGUUAUUGAUAGGUACUGAUGUCGUUUUCAUAAUAUAAUAUAUUAUUAUUAAGGAAGAUUUUAAAGCAAACUUUCCUAAAAUAUAAAGCUGGCCUUGCCAACAAAAUGGCGGCCACUUUGAUUGACAGGUAAACCAAAAUCGCAUAUUUUGCUUUCCAACAUCAUAGUGAGUACUGACGUAAUAAAUUUUGAAAAUUUGAACCAAACAAACUUGGAUCGAAAGAGCAUGCAAAAAUUUCAUCGCUAUAAAAAAUUUAAAAUGUUAAAACGCAUUUUUUGAUUUUUGGCAAAUUUUUGAAAAUCAAAUUUGGGCCAAAAAUGAGAAAAAAAAAUCCAAAUUAUAAUAAAUUGACCUAGAGCUGAAAUUUGGGAUGUCCUCUAUUUUGACCUGUCAAAUUGGUUGGAAAUGGUUUUGAACCAUUUCGAGUAGUUUGGAAACAUCUAGCAGAUUUUUUCAAACUUCAACUUACCAAAUGAAAUUGGAAAGCCAAAAUUGACUCCGCAUUCUAAUUUCAAUGCGCCAUCAAAUCGAUUGCAGAUGGUUUCAAGUCAUAGUGGAACCUCCAGUACUUUCCACAAAGUUACUGGAGCUCUCAGCAAAAUUUUAAAACAAUGGAGUAGGAAAGUACCAAGUGACCAGAAGUUACCCAACUCAAUUAAAAAUUAAAGUAAUAUAUAUGGCGAGUAAAUUUAGGCCUAUAGGAGGUAAGAAGGACCCUGUAGGAACCUAUUGUUUUGUUUAUACACAUACACAAUCACAAAGCUAGAGAGAGAGAUUCAAAUAAAUAUCCACCAUCCAAAUGAUUAAAAGAACUGUAGUUUGGGGUAAUAUCAGCCAGCUAAAAAAAAAAAAAACUUGAAAUGAUAGGGAAAUGAGAGCAGAGAACAACAGGAAACGUGAGAAAUGACUUACCUCAUGAUUUUUUUAAUCAUAUCCUCUAUUUUGAGGUACGUCAAAUCGUGUGUCCAAAGCAAAAAUCUCUAGAAUUUUUUCGUAGAAUGAUUCUGGGAUCUGCACUGCUGGUAUACUAUCCAUGUCUAAGGUUCUCCGGUUAUGGUUUCACAGUAGUUGAUUCUUCCUUCAGGAUCAAACGGAGUUAUUGAACUAUCCAUGACAAAGGUUCUCUGGUUGUAACUAUUGAAAAUUGCACCUGUAUGAAAGACAGGCAAUCCAACAACAGAAAGAAUAGAAAUGUAAUUUUACCUGUAUUUCAAAAAGUUUCACCAAUGUUCAAAAUGUUACAAAUUCAAAAAUUUAACUAAUUUUGAAAAUCUUUCCUAAUUUUGAUUUGAUAUGUUACCACUUGACAAUUUUUUUCUCACUAUUGAUCAUUACUUUGACUUUGGACUACUUUUUCCUGCAUGCAGUGGUAAUUGGAAAAUAAAUAAAAAAAUAUAUAGGGAUAUGAACAGAGAAAGAUAGAUAGAUAGAUUGGUAUAAUGAGUAAAUAGGACUAAAUUAAAUAAAUUAGACAAGGUUUUCAAGUGCAAAGAUGCGACUGUAGUACCUUAGUCCUUAAUGCAAAAUAACUGCAACUCAACACAUUGUCCCUUGAAGAAAAAAUAUUGUGAUAUAAAAUUUUUUUAAAGUAAGUAUUAAUUUAAAAAAGUAAAUAUAAUUACUGUCUUAAAGUGAUAAAUUUGGACUAGAAAAUGAUUUUGUCUUGAAGUGACAAUUUUGGACUACAAAAAAUAACGUUGGUCUGGACUAAAAAUUUAUGAAUAAUUAACUUGGAAAAACAUUUAAGAUUAUUUUAUUACAUGUACAAGAAUAAGAUUGAGUCUUGGUGUUCCCAGAGAUAGUUGGAUGAUAUUAUGUGACAGUGAUGUUGAUGGUUCAGAGGAGCUUGGAGCUUGGACUCCCUAAAACUUGAAAUAAGGGGGAAUUGAGAGUAGAGAAUAACAGGAAACGUUGGAAAUAAUUUACCUCAUAAUAAUUUUUUAAAUCAUGGUUUCACAUUGGUUAAUUUAAUCAGGCGACGCGGUAGCGCUGCCACCCCGCCCUCCCACGGUUUCAAGCGCGUAAUGAACGCGUUCAACCGUAGGCGGCGCAACGCCAGACGGAGUUAUAUUCUGUAACUAUUUCGUAAUGCAAUUUCCCCGAGUUUCAAACGCAAUUUUCUCAAAAACUAUGCGUUUAUUCAAAAAACGCAUAGAUAAUUUUAUUCUUAUUUUUCAAAUACCUUUCAGAAUAUAUAAGAAUAAUUUUUGUACGAUAAAAAUUCGCGAAGUUUCAAUUGGCCAUUUUUUUGUCAUUUUGGCGAAAUUGUUCUUCAACACUUACUCAAAGUUUGAAGGACUGGCCGAACCAAUUUUGAUGAAAUUUGGAAUAUAGCUUUGAUUUGUCAACCAUUACUGACUAAGGUAAAAAAAUUGUAAAUUUUUUCAAAAUUGACCCUGCACCCCCCCUUUUUGGGCCCCAAAAAUUCUCAAAAUUGACCCAAAAUAUCAAAAGGCACUUCUCCACCACAAACUUGAUGUUCAUGCAAAAAUUGAGCUCUGUAGCCCAAUUACAUCACGCUUGAGUGGAGUCUAAAGAUGCUGAAAAAUGACAAAUGUUGAAAAAACGAGCAGUAUAUUUAUCCAAAGUACAAUCAAACCAAAGCUGGGAUAGAUGUACGUACAUCAAAAGGCACAUCUACGAUGUUCAAAGUACAUUUGAACAAAAUUUCAGCGUGAUUUGUGCCCUAUUCGAGGCUGUAGCUUUGUCUAAAGAAACAGUUAAUUUGUAAUACUAAUUUUCGCUAUUAUUGAUUCUUUAGACAAAGCUACAGCUUCGAAUACGGCACGAAUUACGUUGAAAUUUUGUUCUAAUAUACUUUGAACAUCGUAGAAGUGCCUUUUAAUAUUUUCAAAUUAAUGUGAGCUUUAAUUUAUGUGCAAUAAUUAUUAUUAUUGCACAUACACGUUCAAUAUCAAAAUGUCCGUUAAAUUUAAAGCACAACACGUGUUGGCGGCGUUGUAUGCAAUUGAAAUGCGCUAAAAUGUUGAGCAGCCUAGUGGCUGAAUGAUUUAAGCUUCCGCUCGCCACGCAGUAGACUCCGGUUCAAACCCCAUCAGAAUCAAAAAUUUUUUUUAAUUUUUAAUUUUGUAAGCUGAUUUUUUCAAUAUGAUUUUUAUUUACUUAACAUGUUCAAUUUUUAAAAAUACAUUGUAAAAAAACGUUUUUCACUUCCUAAAGUACAAAUUUUCUUUUGCCCUUGUUUUUUUUAAAAAAGUAAACAUGGAAAAAAUUUCAUUAUGCAAAUUUAUUUAAAACAAACAAGAUACAUUUUUUCACCUGAAAAAACAUGUUUUUUUUUACUUCUUGAAAUGACGUUUUGCUUUACUUUGUUCAGGUUUGUUUGGUUCUCAUUUUCAAAAUUUAAAUUUUUAAAAAGUUGACAUUUAAAUUCCAAAAUUUUGAAGCCAAAAAAUGGAACCUGAAAAACACAUUGUUUUUCACCUCUUGAAUUUUUGAACGUUUUUUCACUCGCUUCACCCAGUUAUUUUUUCUAUCCUUUUCCUAAACUAAAAAAUUCCAUUUUGAAACUUCAAAAAAUUCAAAAAGGAAAAUAAUAAUUUUUUAAUAAGUAGGUAUUUUUAUCAAUUAUUGGUAAACUUGUCAUUUCAUCUCUCAUUUCAUUUUAGAAAUUUAUAUUCGCUAUUUGUCAUUUUAUUUGACAAAAUUGAAAGUCUUUUUUUACUGAUCGGCGAAUUUUUGCGCAACCCCUUCCCCCAUCACCCUUGAAAACCCACUGUUUUUAUUCCAGUCAGUUUAAUGACAAAUGUCCAGUAAUCUGUCCACUCUCUGCAUGCUCCUGCCACCAAUGCUAUUUUCAUUUAUUAGAUUGAACACUUCAUCACAAUAAUAUAGAAAAAAAAGUACUGAUAUCCUCCAAAAAAACUCUUCAAAAAAGAAUUACACCCCGCCCUCUCCACGAUUCCUAAUGAACCUACUCCAUGAACAAAAAUUAAAAAUUUCAGUAAGAAAAUGUUAUGAUAUCAUGGUGGAAUCCGCCCCUAAGAAAAACAACCUACCACUUCACCAUUUAUUGUAUAAGACAAUCUAUGAAACAGCUAAUGAGCCAAAAAUUUGGGCGGACAGAUCCCUCAAAUAAGUUUAGUAAUCUAACUUGACUCUGGAGUGUGGAAGAUUUGUCAGCCCCCAAAUUUUUGGCUCAUUAGCUGUUUCAUAGAUUGUCUUAUACAAUAAAUGGUGAAGUGGUAGGUUGUUUUUCUUAGGGGCGGAUUCCACCAUGAUAUCAUAACAUUUUCUUACUGAAAUUUUUAAUUUUUGUUCAUGGAGUAGGUUCAUUAGGAAUCGUGGAGAGGGCGGGGUGUAAUUCUUUUUUGAAGAGUUUUUUUGGAGUUCUUUCUUUGGGAUCAAACAGGGUUAUUGAACUAUCCAUGAUGAACAUUCUCUGGUUAUAACUAUUGAAAUAAUGGCACUUACAUGAAAGGCAUGCAAUUUCUUUGAUUGCCUGCAUGCAAUCCAACCACAAAAAGACUUCCGCAACCAAUAUAAAUGAGCCUUAUGGUGUAUUCCUCAAUUGAGCAAUCACAUUCGCUACUGACUGAUGACACAGGAAUUACUAAUAGUUCUUUAGAAAGUUAUGCCAGCUCAUUGAAUUUGUACUUGUUCCAAAAUUGUAUUAUAUUGGUUUCUCUUUCUUCACUUGUCUUCAGUUUCACCUUUUUGAAGGGUGGCCUAGGCUGGUUAUAAGGUAUUCUUUAAAUUUGAUGAUCAUAGCUGCUGAUGAAUUUAUAUUAAUCAGUGGAAGUUGAUGAAUGUUUUGAUUUUUUAGUGGGAACUGCUGCAGGAGGGGAGCUGUCUAAAAAAGCUUAUUCAAAAUUCCUUUAGGCGCAAAAUUUGAGUUAGUUUUCAUGAACUGUACUAUUACUAUUAAUCUAUUCUUUAGGUAAUUCUUUCACCAUUCCUUUCAAUUUUUUUUGCAAAUGACUCCAACAUCAGCAUAAUAUUUUUCACUUACAACUAAACCCAUGUAAUAAUUUCCAUUUGGUCCACAUAAGUAAACAGAGGGAAAAUGAUUUACCGGCAGCUUCAGUUUUCAGUUUGAUUUCAUCUUUGGCAUCAUCAAUUUUGUCUUGUAAGGUUUCAAUCAGGCUAUAAACAUAUGGCACAAUUAAACUGAUGUAUUUUGGUGCUCUACACUACCUACAUGAGAUUGAGCGGUAUGUACACUAUACGUAAGACACCUUUCUACAUGCGGUGUGAAGGCUGAAUUUCUUAUAGCAAUUUUAAUAGGGUUUCCCAAGGCGGGGCUCUGGGAACCCUAAAAAUAUUUGAUCAAACCCAAUUAACCAAAAAACAAAUAUAAUUAUAAAAAACUUAAAAUUUAAAUCAUUAAAAUAAGUGUAAUGUUUUGGCUCUUAGGCUAUGCACUAAUUGACUAGUAGCAAAAUGAAACAACUUUUACAGAAUGGAACAAAAUGGUGUAACAAAAUAGUUUUGUUGAAAGAACAAAAUGAAACAUUUUUGUUUCAUUGUAAACAGCCCUGGUUAAUAAAUUGAGCUGGGUCAAAAAAAUCAUAAAAUGUUAGAAUAAUUACUUCCUGUUUAAGUGUUUAUAGUCUGCUUGGCAAUGUAGAUAAUUCUAAAAUAAAAGUCAAUCAAAUGAUAAAUUUUGAAGCUUGAAAAGUAAUCAAAAAAACAAACUUUUCAAAAUUGGAAUAUAUAAUUACUUUUAUACUAUCAGCAUGAGCGCCCUUUCCACAGAAAUUUUUAUACACCCCCCCCCCACCAAGCUGGAAUAUAAACAUUUUACAACAUUGAAGAAACUAUUAGUAAAUAUUUAUUUUUCUAAAAAGUAAAAACCUAACAUAAAAGUUGAAUUUUUCAAAAUAAAUUGCAUUUUUUUUUAAUUUUCUCAAAAUUUUUGCACCCUAAAAAUUUGCCCACUAAGCUUCAGCUUAGUCAGCUUUUAGGGUAAGCUGGCGCUGGUGGACUAUGUGACUACCAAAUACCAACCAAGGUACAAUUUUUUCAAUUUUUCUGAAAAGUGAAAAAUUGUUAAAUUACACAUAAAAUGAUGUGAAACAAAAAAUAUUAUUUUGAAUGAAAUUGCAUAAAACAAUUACUGUUGUGUGUAACACAUAAGUGCACAUCACAUUUUAUACAGUACAUAAAAGUUUAAUGGAUACAGCUUGUAUUUUUACAUCUUUGGGCAUUUUUUAAAUUUUUAUAUAAGUCAGACAUGUGGUUCACUUCCAUUAAUUCGAGCAGAGAUGAUAGGAGGUACUUCCUUUUUACCCAUAGGUAUUCCUGAAAUAGGAAGUAGUGUAGCUAAUUUUUCAGAAUUCAAAUCUGACUCAGUAAGAGUUCUUUCCCAUAGAUGGCCAACUUUUUGCUUUAUGGUGUUUACUUUAAGCUUAUUUGCGUAAAUUAAAGCUUCAGCAACUUUUUACCUAAAAUGGAUCAAGUCAAGUUAUUUUUUCUUAAAUACCUGGAGCUUCCGCUUUGAAUCUAUAUUCAAGAUAACUAUUUGUCACAGCCAGAUCUAGUGGGUAUGUGAACAUUUAUAGAGUCCAUUUACAAGAACGUGUGAAGGUCUGAUAUAAAAAUGACAAGAAAUCACGAUUCUAGGGUGCAUACAGCUCCGCUUAUAACUAAAAAAUUGAACAAAUUAGGAUGAGAAACACCAGAACACCUUCCUUAUAAUCUAGAUUCGACACCUUGUUGAUAAUUAUUAAAUUGGUCCAUUGAUAUAGGCACUGAGUAAACAAUAUUUCAAAAGCAAUAAAUCAAGGAAAAUCAUUUUUGCGCAAAUGGCCACUUGAACCACUGCAAACUUUUUGCAAAAAAAGAACCAUGAAGCUCCCAAAUAGGUGGCAAAUGCACAUACCUUAUGAGAGAGACCACCAAGAAUAACUGUACAUAAUUUUUACUCUGUAGGUGUAUACAGUGAAACCGCAAUAAGUGGAAACUCAAGGGACCAGAAAAAGUUUGUGCACUUAUUGAGUUUUUCACUUAAAAGGGUUUGCACUAAGCAAGGUUAUUUUUUCGCAAUUUGCACUUAUCAAGGUGAAUAAAUCACGCGAGUCGCGACAAGUACCUCCUUUUUUUUACUCAAUUUUGAUGAUUAUUCAUUUGAUUUUACGUUACCUACAUCCAUUUUCUGCCAACUUUACCCGUUUUUUAAUUUUACACAAUUUUUUUUUGGACAUUCUACUAUUUCAGUGUAAGUGUUGGAGGAUUUUUUGAAUAUUUUCUACAUGUUUUACUGAAUUUUUCAAAUUUUUAGUCUAGUUUGAAUGAUUUUCACUAAAAUUUCGCCAAAUUCAUUGCACUUAUCGAGGUACUGUUGCAGUUAUGGGGGUGAACUUACAUAGUAAAUCGACUGUAGGGACCGAGGAUUAAUUUUGGUUGCACUUAACGUGAAUUUUCACUUAUUGAGGUUGCACUUAUCGAGGUUUCACUGUAACAAAAUUUUUUAUGGAAAACUUCAGGGUGAUAUAUGAACUCCCCUAGUAUAAAAUUAUAAAUAUUAUCAAAACUCAUUCUGAUUGGCUUAUUCUUACAUCUUAAUUUGAUUUUCCGAUUCUUAUGGGAACUGUUAAGUCAGGUGUGAAAUUAUUACACCUUCUGGCUUAAGUCUGACUUUGAGCCAAAAAUUAAUACUAUACAUAUAUUUGUCAUAGUGAAUGAAGUGGUAGCUUAUAAAAACAUAACUGGAGCUCUGUAAUGAAAGACUUCAAUUGGAAUUUCAAUAGCCUACCACUUGGGAUAAUGUUCUCUGCAGUUUUAAAUGCAAUAUCAACUUACUUACCAACUCUCUCAUAAUGUCAGUUAUCUUUGGUUCUAUGUAAAUUCUGGAAGAACCAAAACUACAUACUUUUCUGUGCAUCUUAGAACAUGUUGAGCCUUUAGUUCUGACAGAAAAUUUGGAAACCAAGAGUUUGGAUUAGCUUGUUUGUGAAGAACAUUAUAUGUACAUGGCUUCCACAUUCUUGAAAAAUCCUCUAGGCUAUAACUUCCAGUGAACUUGUUUUAAUGAAUUUAAAAAUAGUACUUAUAUAAACAGAAUUAUUUUCAUACAACAAUUAUUAUUUUUUUUGAAAUCCUUCAUUUUUAUACACUCAAAAUGUGUUUGAUAUUUCAAUUUUGACCCUAUUGCCAAAAACUUAUCAUGUAUUAUCUUGAGGACUUACAAUAUUAUAAUAGUCAUUCAACUUGCAAAAUUAUUCUCAACUCAUUUUAGUUUGAAAAAUCAUUAUUAAAACAAUACCUACUUCAACUACUUACAUAAAAAAAAUAAAAAUUACUUACUACCUAAAUCUUGGUAGGAAAGAUGUACUUAUCAUUUGCACCAAAUAAAUUUACGUAAUUGAUCUAAAUCAUGGGUGAAAGCUUAAGUAGCAGAUUUCCCAUGAAUAACGAAACUUCCAAGCUCAUGAAUUUCACCAAUUGCAUCAACGCAUCUACAAAUUUAGUCACCGCAUUUUUACUACUUGACUUGUAAAAAAUGGAAAGAUUUCUAGUACCAGCUAAAUAUCUCUAAAUACAUACAUUUACUGUACUGAAAAAUUUCAUUAGCAAACCUUCUCUGAAAUCUGCUCAAAUAAUUUACUGGAUACAUGACAUCCGGACAAGUAUUUCUCGCUACAUACAUUAAUCCUCCUAUUAAACUUUUAAACUUGGUACUUUCAUUAUUCUCCGAAACCUUGAUACUCAAACCUGGUUCCAUAGGUGUCGUCUCCUUCUGACAACCUAGCAUACCAAACCUCUUUAACAAAUGAUCAAUAUAAUCUCCUUGAUUCAAUAAAAUUCGACCUUCUUCCAACUUAAUGUUAAUCCCUAUUAGGAAACAUUUCUGGUUUUAAACGAUCUUGAUUUUAAAAUUAUUUCUUAGCUGUUCUAAUGUCUUUUCAAGAAAUACGCCAGAAUUGUAAGCAAUAAGAAUAUCAUCGACAUAGAUAACUAGAAUACAUUAAAGUAAAUAGGCUCAUGAAAGCUUAAUUUGACAAAUUACAACACCUCAGAAGUUCAAUCAAAAUAAAAAAUCAAGUUUAAUGUUUGAUUAAAAUAAUUAAGCUCAAUGUUACUUAACUAUAUGACAACAAACAUAACACCUCCCUCCCCCCUACAAGGAAAUUUUCUCUGAAAGAAAAUUACAACAUAUGAGGUUCAAUUGAUGUACAAGUCCUCUGAGUUUGUAUCACCAAGGCCCUGGUUUGGUUCUGGAACCUUUGAUGUGGUUACCUCAGGCUGAGACAGUGCUUGAGAUGGUGCCUGAAAGACCUCAUCUGCAUGAUUGUGUAUUGUCACUGAAGGAGUUGGCUCUAUUUCCAAAUUGAGCAACUGCCAUAUUCAUGGCAUUUUAAAUUGAAAUGUUUUAAAGUGAGGAAUUACGGUAUUUUCUACAUUGGUGUUUUGUGUAAUCUGGAGUUGCUCCACAGCUGUUGUAUCGACUCACAACCCACUCAAAUUCAGUCAAGUUCACAGUUAUCGACUUCUCAACAUCAUAACCGUAAUUUGUCAGGUCUAUCCAUGCGGAUAUCAAGCAUGUAUUGGUCUUUGGAUCUCUCAGAUCCCUAAUGCAAUCCAACAUUUCUCUAGCAUCUCUCUUAUGCUGCACAUAAUGUAAAUAAGAGCCAUCUAAGUACUGUAUUAUGGUACUUCUAGCAACCAGCUUUCUGUCUUCCUCAUCUUGUUCUAGCUCUGGUAGAGUGUCAAAUUUUGAAGUGGUUGUUGGUGGGAUUUUAUGAGACAUAUCUGCAUCCCCCAACUUCUGUAUUUUGACUUGUAUGCCAGCCUGCCAGUUCAAUAAUUCAAUGAGUAAAUUAUUAGUCUCUACCAUUCAGUUAGAUAUUUGGUUGAUUUAUAAUGAUACAUUUGUUCUUGAUAACUCUAGCUGUAUCUGCAAAUGUUCUCCAUCACUUUUUACCUUUGCUAGGUUACCCUUUAAUUUGGUUAGGAUUUUCAGUGUUUGAAUUAUGGCAGAAGUCAUGAAUAAUGACUGUAGUUGUCUUUAAUAAGUGAGUUCUGGUUGUUUUCAAGUUUCUUUCUGUAUAAAAGGAUAAAGCAAACAACAGAACAUACAACUUGGCAUAUAUUUAACAUUUUUGGUUUAUUAAUGUGCUCAGAGAAUUUGAGGAGCUCAUUGCAAAAGUAGCUCUUGUCACAUGAACCUAUGCAAUCUCCAAAGCUCUCCCUUGAGCGUACCCAGUAUCAUGAAUGUAAACUCUAUAAAGCAAUUCCUCUCAGGGCUACUCAGGGUAGACUAACUUGAUGGUCAUUUCAUCAUUACAACAUGAUCUCUGCAGUUGGCAAUAGGUGCAAUCGAGUAAAACGUGUCUAAAAGUUCAUGUGACAAGGGCUACUUUUGCAAUGAGCCUCCUCAUUUGAUAAUUAUGCUUGUUUCAUGCAAGCAUUGAGAAACGGAGUAAAGAAAAUAAAAUGAAGAAACAGAAGCAAAAAAAUUAAAUUUUAAUGAAGUGAUGUGAUCCUAUUAUAGGAUGAGUGGACUAUUAGUGAACACGGAUGCACAGUGUAGCAACGUGGCAUUAUAGGGGUGUAGGUGGUGUGUUAUUUAGAUGGAUACACUGUUGUGAUAAUACAUAUGAUGAAAAAUUGUUGAAUAUUUGAUUAAAUGUUCUCAAGUUUUAAAUAAAUUACAAAAAUAUUGAACGCUGAAAUUACAAAUAGUUUCAGUCGAAAAUUGUUCUCAAGUUUUAAAUAAAUUACAAAAAUAUCAAGCGCUGAAAUUACAAAUAGUUUCAGUCAAAAAUCACAAAACAUUGAAAAUUCACAAACAUUAAGAGGAGACAGACAGAAUUUCUCAAUCAUCUUCAUCCUUAUCAGUAUCCGCAGUAUUAUUUUUACUUUUUGUUGAGUUGAACAGCAGUUCAUGACAAAAACAGUGGUAAUCUACAGAUAAUACAGGGACAGGCAGUAAUGACUGGAGAUAAUCAUAAGUAUUUCUUCUUCGUUAUCAGCAAUUGGCUGUGGUUCAGUUGAGGAAGAUCAUCAUUGGGAACUGAAACAACAGCUGCUUUAGAAUGGGUACUGCUUAUAUUUCUCAAUCGCUGAUAGUUUGCUUUAAAAUCGGUUUUGAAAAAAAACUUUGUCAGUAGGACAAUACUUCAAAACACUGAUAUCAUUAACCUUUUCUUGAUUUACUAACGUGCUUCGAUGCUUUUGAUGGUCAAAUGGAAUUGAAGAAUUGCACUUUUUCAAAAAAUGUUCUCUGCAGUUUGAAAUGCAAUACCAACUUACUUCCUAACUCUCUCAUAAUAUCACUUACUUUGGGUUCUAUGUGAAAAUUCUGGAUGAACUAAAACUACUUCUCAGUGCAUCUUAGAAUAUGCUGAGCCUUUAGUUCUGACAGAAAAUUUGGAAACCAAGGGUUUGGAUUAGCUUGUUUGUGAAGAACAUUAUACAUGGCUUCCACAUUGUUGAAAAAUCCUCUAGGCUACAACUUCCAGUGAACUUGUUUUCAGGAACCUGAAAAAAUAAUAGGCACUAAAAAGUAGAAAAUCAAGGUUCACUUACCAACUCAUAUUCAAUUCUUGUUUUAUCCAUAAGGAGUUGAUCUCUGUGUGAGUUCUAACAUUUGUAAGUUUUCUAUAAGGUAAAAACAACAAAGAAAGCACACAAUUGUUAAUCUGAAAAACAAUGGUGAAAAGUAGAAAGUGGUAAUUCACUUAGCAGCUAUUGCUUGGUUCAUUCUAAAAGUCGCAAAAAGGCUCUAAAUUUGAAUUAAACACAUAUUAACUUUUAAAACUUUAUUAAAACUACAUAAAAAACAUUGCUCAACAGUACAUAAACUGUAUGAUGAAAUACAAGGAUCGUAACCGAAAUCUAACAGUUUAUUCGACGCAGGUUAGGCAAAUAUUUGAUACAAAAAUACGUAAAGUACUUUGACACAGAGUUGCCAAACAACAGCAGCUCUUAACCAACUCUUGUUUUCUCAAUAAGAAAUUAUUCCCUUUCUGAUUCUAGUCAUUCUACUUUUUUUCCUAAUUUUUUUAUUUGAUCUUCGAGUGAACUACUCUGAUACCAUGUCUGUGAUGAGAUGGACUUUUCAAGAUAAUUGAGAAUUGUCGUAUAGGUUGCUACCUUACAAGUACAAAGAAAUGCUCUCUCUUGGCCAAUAUCCAAGACAAGUACAUACAUUAACAAAAUCAUUUUUAUAAAACAAUUAAUUAUUAUUUUUUUUUAAAAAGUAGAUGAUCUUUUCUACUAAAAUGAUAUGUUACUACUUACUUCAAUAAUAGGUUGUUCUUGGCCAUUUGGUUACAAAACUAUGAAUUUUACAUUACUUUAAAACUACAGAUACCUAAGUUAUUUUGAACAAAUUCAAUACAUGAUUAAAAACUACACUAAGUUUAGCAAUAUGAAUUUAAAAAUAGUACUUACAUAAGCACAAUUAUUUUCAUAUAAUUAUUAUGUUUUAAAAAAUCCUUCAUUUUUAUACAUUUGAAAUGUGUUUGAGAUGUAUUUCAAUUUUUACCCUCUCAAUGAUUUAAAUUGGAAAUUUUCUAUGUACCUUUCACCCAUUUUUUAAUAUUAGAUUUCAGUACUUUCCUUUUGAAAUAGAUCAUAUGAAUUUCAAUUUCUAAAAGAAAUCUGAACUGGUAUGCUGAGAUGCUGUUACUCAAAUUUCAAUAUUUCCACUUGGGUAAAUUAUCUAGAAUUUUUAAAUUUUAUUAAAAGUUGGAAAUUUUUCUAGUUCAGGUGCUUCUAGCUGAACAUGUGGGUAGGUUAUUCCGUGUCAAUUCAAUCUACAGGUUUCUGAAAAUGUUUAGGUUUUCAAAGUUAAGCUUUUUUACAGAAAGAUAAAAUUUCACUGUGAUGAAAAAACUGUUGAGACUCCAAUUAAGUAUUUGAAAAAAUUUCAAAUAAGAAUAAGGAUCUCUGAUUUUUGUAAAAUAUUGCGUUAAAAUAAUAUUGUUUCAAGUGUUUGUCUGUUCCUUGAAAUUGCAUACACUGAGAUUAAAUGACUACCACUAAAUUACUAUGUUGUACUUACGAGUAAUACUUAUUAUUUUGUUUACAAUGUUGAUUAUAAUUAAGAAAAUCAGAUGUGAAAACAUGAAAAAAAAAAUAAAAGUGAUAAAUUUCU